AUACAUGMAGUCGUACGCUUCUUUUUCMCCGGRUCUUGCUCCACCGGAAAAAGAAGAGUGGCGAACGGGUGAGUAACACGUGGGUAACCUGCCCAUCAGAAGGGGAUAACACUUGGAAACAGGUGCUAAUACCGUAUAACAAUCGAAACCGCAUGGUUUUGAUUUGAAAGGCGCUUUCGGGUGUCGCUGAUGGAUGGACCCGCGGUGCAUUAGCUAGUUGGUGAGGUAACGGCUCACCAAGGCCACGAUGCAUAGCCGACCUGAGAGGGUGAUCGGCCACAUUGGGACUGAGACACGGCCCAAACUCCUACGGGAGGCAGCAGUAGGGAAUCUUCGGCAAUGGACGAAAGUCUGACCGAGCAACGCCGCGUGAGUGAAGAAGGUUUUCGGAUCGUAAAACUCUGUUGUUAGAGAAGAAYAAGGAUGAGAGUAACUGUUCAUCCCUUGACGGUAUCUAACCAGAAAGCCACGGCUAACUACGUGCCAGCA
rnacentral:rRNA from 1 species